UGGCUAACUCCUACGGGAGGCAGCAGUGGGGAAUUUUGGACAAUGGGGGCAACCCUGAUCCAGCAAUGCCGCGUGAGUGAAGAAGGCCUUCGGGUUGUAAAGCUCUCUUGUCAGGGAAGAAACGAUAGUAGCUAAUAUCUAUUACUAAUGACGGUACCUGAAGAAUAAGCACCGGCUAACUACGUGCCAGCAGCCGCGCUAAUACGUAGGGUGCAAGCGUUAAUCGGAAUUACUGGGCGUAAAGCGUGCGCAGGCGGUUGUGUAAGUCAGAUGUGAAAUCCCCGGGCUCAACCUGGGAAUUGCAUUUGGGACUGCCAGGCUAGAGUGUGUCAGAGGGGGUUAGAAUUCCACGUGUAGCAGUGAAAUGCGUAGAUCUGUGGAGGAAUACCGAUGGCGAAGGCAGCCCCCUGGGAUAACACUGACGCUCAUGCACGAAAGCGUGGGGAGCAAACAGGAUUAGAAACACCUGUAGUCCAGCUGG
rnacentral:rRNA from 1 species